CCAGAAGAAGUGAGUCAUCAGAUUUUACCCAUUGGAAGGAAGACUCACUUCAACUCAUUUAUUCUUUAAAUGUUUCUGUUUUUUUUCUUCCCCACCCAUCUUAUCUGAAUCAGUGGUCAGAAAAUCCUAGAAGUGGUAAGUUGGAUAGAAAAGGAAAAUGGUCUCGUAAGUUUCCUGGAGAGUGCUUGGAAUGCAUGGAGAAACUGGAUUUUGUAGUCCUGAGUGUACAAAAGUGCUGGAGGAGAACAGGCAAGUGUAAUUAUUAUUAUAUGGAACCCAUAUCUGUUGAUGGUGAGUUUAAAUGGAUCAAAAUUAUUGCUCCUUAAAAGCAACACCAAAAUUUGUAAGAUAUGAUGCAUACUAAUUAAAGUUCAAG